AACACAUGCGUCGGUGCUCAAAGUCAAUUGCGCUGUGUGCAAGAUAGGGCCCACUGUGUAUCUAUUUUGACAUCAG